rnacentral:rRNA from 1 species
AUUGAACGCUGGCGGCAGGCCUAACACAUGCAAGUCGAACGAGUGGCGGACGGGUGAGUAAUGUCUGGGAAUCUGCCUGAUGGAGGGGGAUAACUACUGGAAACGGUAGCUAAUACCGCAUACCAUCGGAUGUGCCCAAGUGGGAUUAGCUAGUUGGUGGGGUAAAGGCUCACCUAGGCGACGAUCCCUAGCUGGUCUGAGAGGAUGACCAGCCACACUGGGACUGAGACACGGUCCAGACUCCUACGGGAGGCAGCAGUGGGGAAUAUUGCGCAAUGGGGGCAACCCUGAUGCAGCCAUGCCGCGUGUAUGAAGAAGGCCUUCGGGUUGUAAAGUACUUUCGGUGGCGAGGCGUUACCCGCAGAAGAAGCACCGGCUAACUCCGUGCCAGCAGCCGCGGUAAUUC